GCUCCUAUGGCGCAAUUGGUUAGCGCGUUCGGCUGUUAACUGAAAGGUUGGUGGUUCGAGCCCACCUAGGAGCG
rnacentral:tRNA from 1 species